UACGUAGGCAGCGAGCGUUGUUCGGAGUUACUGGGCGUAAAGGGUGUGUAGGCGGUUGUUUAAGUUUGGUGUGAAAUCUCCCGGCUCAACUGGGAGGGUGCGCCGAAUACUGAAUGACUUCGAGUGCGGGAGAGGAGAGUGGAAUUCCCGGUGUAGCGGUGAAAUGCGCAGAUAUCGGGAGGAACACCAAUUGCGAAGGCAGCUCGCUGGGACGGUACUGACGCUGAGGCGCGAAAGCGUGGGGAGCAAACAGG
rnacentral:rRNA from 1 species